CGACGGCCGGGAAUCAAACCCGGGUCAACUGCUUGAAAGGCAGUUAUGCUAACCAUUCAGUACUUUUGUC